CCUACGGGUGGCUGCAGUGGGGAAUAUUGGGCAAUGGGCGCAAGCCUGACCCAGCAACGCCGCGUGAAGGAAGAAGGCUUUCGGGUUGUAAACUUCCUUUUUCAGGGACGUAGCAAGUGACGGUACCUGACGAAUAAGCCACGGCUAACUACGUGCCAGCAGUCGCGGUAAUACGUAGGUGGCAAGCGUUAUCCGGAUUUACUGGGUGUAAAGGGCGUGUAGGCGGGGAAGCAAGUCAGAUCUGAAAGCCACGGGCUCAACCUGUGGCCUGCAUUUGAUACUGUUUUUCUUGAGUGCUGGGGAGGCAGGCGGAAUUCGGGGUGUAGCGGUGAAAUGCGUAGAUAUACGGAGGAACACCAGUGGCGAAGGCAGAUUGCUGGACAGUAACUGACGCUGAGGCGCGAAAGCGUGGGGAGCAAACAGGAUUAGAUACCCGAGUAGUC
rnacentral:rRNA from 1 species